rnacentral:misc_RNA from 1 species
UAGACGAGAGUCCAUGAUUCUCAGAAUUAAGAUUCGCGAAGCUUAUUCUAAAACAUUAAGAGACAUUGUCGCAUUUCUCUUGAUUUACUUACCUCCAAAAUGACAAAAUACGACAAGCAAGGUGUUCCUAACCUAAGUUUUCAUAAUCCGAUGCGAAUAACUCUUUACCCAGAAGGUUUGUACACGUACGCGAUGGGAAACACACCAGCCCGAGAUAUAACGGAGCUGUUGGGCUCAUCGAUAGAACAACAUGUAUACGUGUUGCUCUUAGCAUGCGGUGAUGUUAGAAAUUUCCUAUGCAGUUUGUCUGAGUUAUCUCUAAGAAAACCACGUGAACGUCCUAAGAGUUUAAGUUUCCAUUUGAAUGAUUAUGAUCCAUCAGUGAUAGCACGCGAUGCUGUGCUCCUAGAGGUCGCUAGUGUGAUAAAUCCUGAUGUCCCUGCUGAUGUAGACUUCUUGUGGAACAUUUGGUAUAACCUAGCACUGUCGGUGGCCGACUUUGAUCGACUGCGAAAAUUACUCACUGAACUGUUAGAGAAGAAAUUUGACAGCGACGAUAGUAUCUUAAAGUUUCGGGAGGACGGCGUUCUCCAGGAAUGUCGAGAUAUAUGGAAAGACUGGAGAGAUCUCGAUCUCGAAGUGAAAAGUGUAAAAGAGGAGAGAAACAACCUGAUAGAGGACGCGAAAAAAAGUUUAGGGUUCUUUGAAGAUUCUCAUUGCCAGUCUACACUAACUCAUAUGGUGAUGGCAAUCUAUGAAGAGGAACUAGACAAUUUUGUGAAACCUGCAGCGACAAAUCCACUCUACACGGAAAUACAACACUGGUAUAGAGAAGGUUGUACGAAUGAUGAGUCGGAGAAAACAAAUCCGACAUUGGUUCGUCCAUUUGUUCACAAGUGGAGACAGCAUUAUGGUUCCUGUGCGUUUGAGGGUUAUCCACCACUGGAAAGGAAAGACCUCGAACAAGGUAAAUCAUGUGCUGAGGUUUGCAAGGAAAAGCUGGCAGUCUGGAUAAAAAGACUUCAGGAGCAUUAUGAAAAUCACCAAAACAAUCUGAAGGUUACCCUGUGGACAGGCGAUGGACUUACUUUGUGUACAAGUGGUUUUCCGCCAGAAGUGUUGUUCGACGUAAUCGAUACAAGUAAUCUCAGCGAUCACAUUGGUUUGUUGAAUGUCCUCGUCUGCUGUUCCCCAAGGUUAAAGGUGCCAAAUGUUUCCCUGCUGUUCACAUCAAGCAUGUUAUGGAGCCAUGCAUGGGACAGUAUAGAGGAGUAUUACAACAAAUGUGUUGGUGUUCCGUUGCAACUUCUCCCAACAGUUCUCGGUUUGAAGCUGGCUAUUGAUCUCGAAUUGGGAAGCAAAAAACUUCCGGACAAAUUGGACUCUACUGAGGAGACUCUUUGCUGGGUGAAGGCGGACCCUAAAAGGACUUUAUUGACUAUAGAUAAAGCCACUGACGUUGUCCAAGCGCUACUGCGUCUCACAGAGCGUUGCUUCAAUCUAGCGAAUGAGAUCAUUCAUUACACUGGCGUCACUUCACCUUCGCCUCUGACCUUGCUUCGAAUUAUACAUCAGGCACAACCACUCUUCAAGGGAGGAGGUCAUAUCAAUUUUAAAGUUAGCUGUUAGCCUGCAGCGUAUGCAUGUUCAUGCUGUUCGAGCACUAAAAAGCGGAUUGAUCAGUCCUGCUGUACAAAGGAAACCCUAAAAAAAACAACUCGAGUUCCAACUUAAUUCUCUCACCGCCAAGAUAAUUGACGUUCUUGAACAAGAGCUACCAGCUGAAUUUAAGAGGAAGUACGGACUAUCCUGGAGUUUGAUAAAGGCGUC